rnacentral:rRNA from 1 species
AAUGCGUAAAUAUAUGGAGGACACCAGAGGCGUAGGCGGCUUGCUGGGUCUUUACUGAAGCGCCUC